UACAGAGGUGGCAAGCGUUGUUCGGAAUUACUGGGCGUAAAGGGCGCGUAGGCGGCCAGCACAAGUCAGUUGUGAAAUCUCCGAGCUUAACUCGGAAAGGUCAACUGAUACUGUGCGGCUAGAGUGCGGAAGGGGCAACUGGAAUUCUUGGUGUAGCGGUGAAAUGCGUAGAUAUCAAGAGGAACACCUGCGGCGAAGGCGGGUUGCUGGGCCGACACGUGACGCUGAGGCGCGAAAGCCAGGGAGCGAACGGG
rnacentral:rRNA from 1 species